AAUCUCAGAAAAGGGACAGUGAUAAGAUUUUGAAAUAUAUCUAAUAAUAUAAAAAAAUAAAACAAACAAAAUAAAAGCCUCAGUGGUCAAAAUACUGCAUUGAGUUAAUCGCCUGUGCAGUUAGGUCGUCCUGGGGGCUCCUUGCUGUCCUUGGAAAUGCUGCAGAAGCGCUCUAAGGCAAGCUCCCAGUCUCCAGAGAAGGGGUUUGGGGCAAGCUUAUCCCUGCUCCUGGAGACUUCUUUUCUUCUAAUGACUAUUUUAUAUCCUUCCCUCUUACUGUGUAGGGGGGCUCUGUUAACUCCAUCAAGUGUCUAAGUGAGAUCAGGUUUUAACAGCCUAGACACUGUUUCCAUUACAGUGUAGUCCACUGGAAAUCUUGUUACCAAGAGGGUGUGUGUCAGAACUCACCAUUCCUCUUCCUAAGAAUGGCGGAGCUCUUUUGUUCCUGUUCCCUCAUUGACCACCUUUCUCUUUGAUGAUGCUUUGGCUUGACCAUUCUCACCGCUGCAAAGUCUUAUCCUUCCUUCAUCUUAUAAAUUUCAUCCCUGGACAUUCCAGGAAAAAAAAAAUGUUUUGCUCCUUUGGUUCUGCUACUCAGAUCCUCCUGGAUCACAUAUGGCCUAUUCAAGCUCCUCACCUCCUCCAGAGCAGGAUCCUGUCUCCUAGGAAACAGUGCCCCACCUUUUAGUGUGAAAUAAUUUCACCCAUCUUCUAUUUUCUCGCUGCAGUCUACCUUUGUAUCACAGAAGAAACUACUUUGAAAUUAGUAACCAGUGACUUCCAUGAUGAGCAGGACUUACACACACUCUGUUUUUUUAUUUUUUAUUUUUCCUUUCGCAAAGAGUUCUAGUUGUUGAAUUUCAGAAUUUCCUGAAUAUAGAACCAGUACUUCUAGGAAGUAUUUCCAAUCAGUUUUCAUCAUCUCUUCAUUCCCUCCCCCCAUAAGUGUCCAUGAACUCAAUAUGGAUAUUGUUCAUGUUAUUAUUGAUGUCAUUCUACUGUUCAAAGCAUUCUGGUGUACGUUCAUGAAUGCUGAUACAGAUAAUGAGCUUCUUUUUAAAAAAUGGAUGUAUCUCCCCAAGGCACACAGGGUCAUUUUAAAAGCAAGUGAGUCAUUGUGUAUUUUAACAAGAAAAAUAGUGAAGUCCUCAUUUAAGACGGACAGCACAAUAUCAUAUCUUAAGGAUUGGACAGGUGACUGUCCAUCACUGAGGGAAGUCAACUCAGGAACUCAGUCAACAACCUGCACGCCAAGGAUUACUGUUGAUUACUUAUUUGUUCCUCAUGGCUUGCUGAGCCUGCUCUCUUGUACAACCCAGGACCACCUGCCUGCCUAGGGUGGACCCACCCACAGUGAAUUGAGCCUGUCCAUACCAGCCACUAAUCAAUAAAAUGCCCUGCAGGCAUGUCUACAGGCCAAUCGGUGGAGACAUUUUCUCAACUGAGGUUCCCUCUUCCCACGUGACUCUAGUUUGAGUCAAGGUUACAAAACAAAAGGAGCACACCUGCAUUUAUUUGUGAAGGACUUGUGCAGCCACAGUUCAUACCCACUAUUCUAAUAGUUGGACAUACAACAGAAUUGGGGAACCCAUCACAAAACUCACAAAGAUAUGAUGAUCAACCUCUGUCAGGUAUGGAAACUUCAUUCUUUGGUUGUGUGUGAUGUGAGAUUUGAGGCUGACUCAGAUUGCACCAGUUGAGGAGCUAGAGACAGUUGGUGCAGGAGCUCCUCUAUUGGAGGGUACAAGGUCGAUGAUAUCAAUACAACGUUUAGUUCUUGACAACUGAAACACAUAAUAAAAGACACUAGCUCUAUUGACAAUAGUGAAAUGACUGGCUAUUAAUUUAACAAAGAUAUUAAAGAGUAAAGUCCAGAUUCAUUGGGACAUCAUGUAUGCCUGUAAUGCACAUUUUAACCAA